CCUAACUCGUACAUUCUGAGAAUGAAGAAACACUCGGGUGAAGCCGCCAGGUGCACGUCAGUUCCCGGGUGAGGAGGAGCUUCCCGGCCAGACCCUGAGUGUGGCACCUCUCCGACUCUGAGCCACGAGUCACUCUGUCACCUGGGCGAGCGUGCGGAGUGUGCAGUGCAAUCUCAAAUUCCUGGGAUCAAGUGAGCCUCCUGCCUCAGCCUCCCAAAUAGCUGGGACUCCAGAUCCAUUCAGAUGCACAAAUACUUCCUUGCCACUGGGUUACCCCUGCCAGCAGCCUUCAAUACAGUAACAUGCUGUGUGGGCCUCGAGCCA